rnacentral:lncRNA from 1 species
CUGUACAUAGCCCUAAGAGAUCACAUUUGUUUAUAUUUUACUUGUCAGGAAACAUUUACUGAAGCCUUACGCUAUGGUCGCAGUGCAAAGUCUAUGAAGAGAUUGUUUAAAAUCUGAUCAAAUCUUGGGGAAUUCUUGAGCAUAAUGACUGAUCUGAGCACCUUGGAUGUGACAGAUGUUUCCAUGUGGCCACUGCACGACGUCAGGGCUGCCAUUCUCAUAGACCGCUGUGUGCUCAUGCUUCUGCAGAGCUCAGUAGCGCACCAGUUUUGCCGCGGUAUGUGCCCAGAUUCAGUCUGCGAAGCAUCAUUUUAUCAAACGGGCCUUGAACAAAAGAAAAAGAAUCUUUCAUUGUACUUCUGUUUAUUUUACUAAACAGAUGUUAUUGGAAAAAUAUAAUUAGUUUUAUUGUAAAUAAUAGAAAUAAGUAAGGGUGACAAGGAAGA